rnacentral:rRNA from 1 species
UACGUAGGUGGCAAGCGUUGUCCGGAUUUACUGGGCGUAAAGCGCGCGCAGGCGGGCUGGUCAGUCCGGGGUGAAAUCCCGCGGCUCAACCGUGGAAGUGCCUUUGAUACUGGGGACCUCGAGGGAGGUAGGGGCGUGCGGAACUUCCGGUGGAGCGGUGAAAUGCGUAGAUAUCGGAAGGAACACCGGUGGCGAAAGCGGCGCGCUGGACCUCUUCUGACGCUGAGGCGCGAAAGCCAGGGGAGCAAACGGG